UACGUAGGGCGCAAGCGUUGUCCGGAAUUAUUGGGCGUAAAGAGCUCGUAGGCGGUUUGUCGCGUCUGUCGUGAAAGCUUGGGGCUUAACCCUAAGUCUGCGGUGGAUACGGGCAGACUAGAGGCAGGUAGGGGAGAACGGAAUUCCCGGUGUAGCGGUGAAAUGCGCAGAUAUCGGGAGGAACACCUGCGAUGUAGAUGGCUUACUGGACCGUAACUGACGCUGAGGCACGAAAGCGUGGGUAGCAAACAGG
rnacentral:rRNA from 1 species